CGGACUGCUCGGGGUUAGGCUGGGCAUCGGUCAGCGAGUGAGGAGAACAGGUCUGGAAUUUUCUGCAUUGUCUGAAGGCACUACAUAAAGAGGAAAUACUUGUUUCCACAUGAUGUGUAAUCAACUCCUUGCUGAAAAACGGCGUUGUGCCCGAGAGAAUCACAGAAUUUCUAGGUUGGAAGAGACCUCAAGAUCAU